rnacentral:rRNA from 1 species
GAUGAACGCUGGCGGCGUGCCUAAUACAUGCAAGUCGAGCGAAUGGAUUAAGAGCUUGCUCUUAUGAAGUUAGCGGCGGACGGGUGAGUAACACGUGGGUAACCUGCCCAUAAGACUGGGAUAACUCCGGGAAACCGGGGCUAAUACCGGAUAACAUUUUGAACCGCAUGGUUCGAAAUUGAAAGGCGGCUUCGGCUGUCACUUAUGGAUGGACCCGCGUCGCAUUAGCUAGUUGGUGAGGUAACGGCUCACCAAGGCAACGAUGCGUAGCCGACCUGAGAGGGUGAUCGGCCACACUGGGACUGAGACACGGCCCAGAGUCCUACGGGAGGCAGCAGUAGGGAAUCGUCAGCAAUGGACGAAAGUCUGACGGAGCAACGCCGCGUGAGUGAUGAAGGCUUUCGGGUCGUAAAACUCUGUUGUUAGGGAAGAACAAGUGCUAGUUGAAUAAGCUGGCACCUUGACGGUACCUAACCAGAAAGCCACGGCUAACUACGUGCCAGCAGCCGCGGUAA